rnacentral:rRNA from 1 species
GAUGAACGCUAGCGGCAGGCCUAAUACAUGCAAGUCGAACGGUGUCUUCGGACACAGUGGCGCACGGGUGCGUAACACGUAUGCAACCUACCUUACAUUGGGGGAUAGCCUUUCGAAAGGGAGAUUAAUACCGCAUAAGACAGUAGCUGGGCAUCCAGCAGCUGUUAAAGAUUUAUCGAUGUAAGCUGGGCAUGCGUCCAAUUAGCUAGUUGGUGAGGUAACGGCUCACCAAGGCAAUGAUUGGUAGGGGAACUGAGAGGUCAAUCCCCCACACUGGCACUGAGAUACGGGCCAGACUCCUACGGGAGGCAGCAGUAGGGAAUAUUGGGCAAUGGACGCAAGGCUGACCCAGCCAUGCCGCGUGCAGGAUGAAGGCGUUAUGCGUUGUAAACUGCUUUUAUACAGGAAGAAACAACUCUUGCGAGAGGCAUUGACGGUACUGUAUGAAUAAGCACCGGCUAACUCCGUGCCAGCCGCCGCCGUAACAC